GCAGAUCAUAAGGUCAAAGUUGUCAUGCUCACUGGGGACAAGUUCCAUGCUACAUUGCAUGCCUGGCUCUGAAAUGGCGACUAGAGCACAGACAUUGGCAAACAGGAAAUCACAAAGUCUGUCCGUUUGGAGACCUUGAUCUUUGCCUGGAGUCAGAUUGAGCAGCUUCCUAUCCAGGCAUUAUGUGAAUUCAACGUCGGAAUUGCCAUGGUGGAAGGCAUUGGAGAGCAUGGUGGAGAAAAACAUGCUGAAGUGAGAUGACUUCAGCACAAAGCUCUGUUUAAUUCAAUUAGUGACUGGGACUGGAUCAGAAGAUUGACCUCAGCCACGAGGUGUGGGCAGCCCUCAUGAAACUGUCAAACCGUUGUGAUGGAUUUCUCAGGGCAGCUGGAUUCCUCCAAGACCCUCUAAAGGAUUGAACAGCUGACUGUGUCAAAGACCUUAGAUCAUCAAGCCUGGUGAAGAGACACCACGUUCUGUUCUGGGCAUUUCUCCUGGAGAUGUCUCACUGUCAACACAAUAAGGGCGGCUCUUUCACCUGCACUGACUCUCGAGCAGCAGAUCCUGAUCAAUAAGCAGUUCAGAAGGACCCUGGUGAAGAUUUUGCUGGUGAGGGAGAGUAUUGUGAUUCUUGUAUGAGUUUUGCAAGAUGUGGAGCAACGAUUGUAGCCCCUCGUGUUAGAUACAGUGACAAUAUAAUGGGAAUUACAUCUAACAUAUUCAAGGAUGAAGCCGCUAGCACUUGAUUUGCAUUGAAAAGAUGUUUGGUUUCUUAAUUGUGAAUCCCAAACCACUGCCGUAAUUUAUGAAAAUGACAUAAUGGAUCAGGCUCGACUUUCUGAGGAAUGACAAUCUCACGCAGGUUACAUUCUCCUUUUUUCAUGAAACGGAAGAGCUCUACAUUUCUGACAGAUGAUUCUGAUCAGGGCUUCUUCAGAAAUGCACAGCUGUAUUUCCAUUCUGACUAUGCACUAGCGUCAUGCUGCUGUGUGGACCUCUGAAGCCUGUGUCUGGCUGGAGAAACCGGAAGUGAAUGCGUUGGCAUGGCAUUGGCAUGCAGAUCGGCAGGCAUGAACCUUUGGAGCUGCCGCACAGCUUGGACAGAACUCUGAGGAUCAAAGGUGCAUCUGUAAGAGAAGAUACUGUUUGAUGCAUGUGAACGUUCCCCUGACAUUAUUUCAAAGGAGAACAGGGGUGCCCUGGCCAAUAAUAAUCCCUCAAACAACAUUGCAAGAAUGGAUUACCCAGUCAGUAUCAUAUUGCUGCUUGCGUGGUGAGAACAUUGGCAGCCAUGUUUCCUACAUUGCAAAUGGCCUCAUGGAUUCUGAGGCCUAACUGUUGCUGCUUCUUCUGUCAAGAUACUGCCAUAUCUGAUGAAUUUUUCCAGUGUUUUCUGUGUUUGUUCCAUAAAUCCACUGUCUGGAACCACGUGACAUCCAUCAGCCAACACACCUAGGGCCCCUCUCUACCAGCUGCCCUCCAAUUUUCCCAGUAGAAGGGACGUCUGUAGCUUUUCAGCUCUGACCAAACAUUGACAAUUUUCUUUUUUGGAUGUCACUUUUUAAAGUUCUUCUCACCGUCGUAAAUUGAAACAUAUCUUCAUUUGAUUUAUGGAAUUUUAAACUUAUGCUUAGCAACCAUUCCAAACAGCUCUGUUCUCUUGCACAGAUCUUUACUUCUUGCCCAUGUUUCAUCUGAGGCCAUGAAGGAUGCUAUAUAAAUGCAAGUCUUCCUUUUUUCAUGUAUAAGUAAUUGUUUUUCAUUUCUAAUGUCCCAAAAAGUAGAAGUCUAUAGUUCCUGUGCUUACUGUUUCCUUAAUUUCUGAAGAUGUGUAAAACCAAUGAUUCAGUCUCAGAGCUUUUUCCACCCUCUCAUUCCUUCUGGGAAAAACCAGGCCAAUUUGAAAUUCCCUGCCCACAUCAAUAUUGAGUUAAUUAAUUGAAUGGGACAUCAAUCGAGCUUGACUGUGAAGAGGGAGCACUACAUUAAGCAAAUGAAGAUAAUUGGCACAAGAAAAAGAGGAGAUAUGAAAAGAAUUGUUUGGUAAAGCAAAUUGGUAUGAUCUAGAAUGUGCUGCUUAUAAAGGUGUUGGAAGCAGAUUUCAUAAGAACUUCCAAAUGGGAAUUGGAUAAAUAUGUGGAAGAAAAUAGUGGGCAAUGGGGAAAGAGCAAGGGCAAUGGAAGUUCAAUUACCCAAGCACAAUGGGUUGAGUAACCCUCUUCUGUGCUGUAUCAGUUUGUGAUUCCACACAUCAGGAAACUAAUCUAUAUUCUGUGCUUUUUAGGAGUGCAUCUUAAAGAAAAGAAACAGAUUUCAUGAUUAUUUGGCUGCACGUUCUGCAAGAUAAUCAGCACUAAUACAGGCUUAUGAACUCAGUCCCCAGUUAUAUGGGGGACAUGGAGACACUUUAUUGUGUGUUGUACAAUCUGGUUGAAAAAGACAACUGAAAUGUCACCUAGAGACACAGAAAUGUCACAGUGCAUUAUUUUUGUAAAGCCCAAUUCUCUGUAACCGUGGUGCAAGGGCUGUUGUUUCUGAGACAGUCAAUCACAUUGAUAUUAAUUGCCACUUAGCACUGUCACAAUCAAUGAAACGUAAUUUGUUUUCUCUCAGGAAUUAAUUCAAUGUUUUUUAUCACCUCCGCGCUCUCUAACAAAGACCGUCACUGUAUUUUGACAUUAGUUCUGACCUUUCCAAUCAACCUUGCUUUACGGGAGUGCAUUCCAAGUGCUGUUCCAGAACCCAAACAACACAAACCAAUUUUAUUACCAAGUGGCGUGUCCUAUUUAAGAAGCACAAAAUGCAGGAGAUUUUGCCACAGUGACCAGAUUAAUCCAAAGCUCUCAUAAAUGGCUAUUCCACUUCCUAAAGCAAAGCAUUGAAAGUGGAAUAUUGUCAAAAAGUCAAAGUUAAGGGCACACUAUCUGAAUGCAUGCAGCUUUCACAACAAGGUGGAUGAUCUAAGGGCACAAAUAGAAAGACAUGAGUAUGAUCUAAUCGUCAUUACAGAGAAAAGUAGCUGCAUGGUGACCAGGGCUGGGAAGUGAAUAUUCAAGGAUAUUCAACAUUUAAGAAUGAUAAACAAGAAGAAAAAGGAGGUGGAUUUGCACAGAUAAUAAAGCAUACGAUCAGUAAAUUAGUAAAGGAUGGUCUCAGAUUGGAAGAACAAGGUGUGGAAUCUGUUUGCGUAGAGCUAAGAAACAGCGCAGGGCAGCGGACACUGUUUGGAGUUAUUUGUAGGCCAUCACAAAAGUGGUGGCAUGGGACAUGAUAUUAAUCAGGAGAUGAAAGAAGCAUGUAACAUUGACAAUAGUUAUCAUGGGUGGUUUUAAUCAGCAUGUAGACUGGGUAAACCAACUGAGUAAACCAACUGAGCACCAAAGCUGUGGAGGAUGAGUUUCUGGAGUAUGUCAGGGAUGGUUUUCUAGAGCAGAGUGUUGAGGAGUCAAUUAGAGGGCAUACAAUUUUAGAUGUACCAUUAUGUAAUGAAAAGGGCUAAUUAAUAAUCUUAUUGUGAAAAAACCUUUAGGGAUGAGUGACCACAAGAUAAUUGAACCUCACAUUAUAUUUAAAAGGAAGGUUGCUCAUUCUGAAGCAAGAUGUUAAAUUUUGAUACAAUUAAUUAUGAAAGGUGGGAGGCAUGAAUUGGCUGAGCUGGACUGGAAAAUUACAUUAAAAAACAUGAUUGUACAUAUGCAAUGAAUAGUUGUUAAAGACAGCAUGGUGGCUCAGUGGUUAGUACUGCUGCCUCAUAGCGCCAGGGACCCGGGUUCAAUUCCAGCCUUGGGCAAUUGUCUCUGUGAAGUUUGCAUGGGUUUCUGCGUGUCUGCGUGGGUUUCCUCCGGGUGCUCCGGUUUUGUCUCAUGGUCCAAAGAUGUGCAAGACACAUGGAUUGACCAUGCUAAAUUGCCCGUAGUGCACAGGGAUGUUUAGGUUAGGUGGGUUAGACAUGGAACAAACAGGGAUAGGAGAAUGGGUCUGGGUGGGAUGCUCUUCGGAGGGGUGGUGUGAACUUGUUGGGCCAAAUGGCCUGUUUCCACUCUGUCGGGAUUCUAUGCUCAAUUACACAACUCAGAGCUUCUAUACAUUCAUCAAGGUGCAAAAACUCAAAAAUGGUCAGUCAACUGCUAAUAAAGGAAGUUUAAGGCUGUAUAAGAUAACAAGAAAAGGCCUAUAAAAUUGUCAGAAAUAGCAGCAAUUCUGAAGAUUUUAAGUUUUAUAAAAUAUAACAAAAGAGGACUAAGAAACUGAUAAGGCAAGGCAAAAUGUAAUAUAAAUGCAAUCCAGGCAGAAACAUAAAACCAGUGUGUUAAAGCUUCUACAGAUUUGUAAAAAGGAAAUGUUUGGCUAAAACGAUUGUGGGUUCAUUAGAGGCAGAGUCAGGGGAAUUCACUGUGGGGAAUACAGAAAGGACAAAUGGUUAUAUGACCCCAUGACUCUAAAUGAGUAUGUUGUGGUUGUUUUCAUUGCAAAAUAUGAAGAAAUUUUCAGAACAAGUUGCAGUGAUUGUAACGAGGACAGCCGGAUGGACUUCAUAGAAUAUGUGUUCCCGGAUUCAGGCUGUUAACCUGGUUGACAGAUAAGAACAGGAAAGGCGGAGAUUCUGUCACUCUGAGAACUGGUUCUGAUGGAACUGGAUCACUGUCAAGGACUCUCCAUGUGCAAAUAAAGUGUGACUUGGUGAUGGGAUAUUGGCCUCUGUGGAGUUAUUUUGCUAGUGAUUGAAGUGGCGAGGGAGAAAGAAGAAUCGAAGGAAAUUAGCAGUACCCACUGCCAUCCAGUUAGAGCUGCCGAUCAAUGAGGAAUUGCCUGCCACUGGUUGCUCUUAGUGGGAGGGAUUCCUUAGCCCAGGAUCCUUGAUGGCAAAUUGCUGCCUGAUUAGCUCUUAAUUCAAGGGCCUUUGGGAGAGGAAAAUAUCAAAAAACUUGGCUGAAAAGAUUUAAGGAACAUCUUAGAGGAGGAAAGCGAGACAGAGGUAUAGGGAGGGAAUUCCAGAGAUUAGGACCCAGGCAGCUGACAGCAUGGCUAACCCAACACAUCUCCAGCUGGUGGGCAAGAACUCCCAUCACAUCUGUUAAAUAUCGCCCACCAAGAUUAGACUUGCACUGCUGGAGUCUCCAGGGAAAUAUUUGAGCUUUGCGAUUUUAAGGUGCUGGAAGCCUCCCAACAUUUCUGGAACUGCAUCCCAGCAAGGGAUAUGUUUGGGAUAGAAAUGCAAUCUGUGCCAAAGUGUCUCUUGAUUCGCAGUACUCAUGUGACCUCAACCAUGACAUUGAUCGGGAGCUGCCAACUUGCAACCAGUUUCAUAAAGUCAUAUACAGGCUGGACAGUUGCUUGGAAAGCUCAUAACAUGGAGCUGAG